UACGUAGGGAGCAAGCGUUGUUCGGAUUUACUGGGCGUAAAGAGCGUGUAGGCGGCCAAGCAGGUCCGUUGUGAAAACUGGAGGCUUAACCUCCAGACGUCGACGGAAACCGCGUGGCUAGAGUCCGGAAGAGGAGAGUGGAAUUCCUGGUGUAGCGGUGAAAUGCGCAGAUAUCAGGAAGAACACCAAUGGCGAAGGCAGCUCUCUGGGACGGUACUGACGCUGAGACGCGAAAGCGUGGGGAGCGAACAGG
rnacentral:rRNA from 1 species